CCUACGGGAGGCUGCAGUAGGGAAUCUUGCACAAUGGGCGAAAGCCUGAUGGAGCAACGCCGCGUGGGUGAAGAAGGUCUUCGGAUCGUAAAAUCCUGUUGUUAGAGAAGAAAGUGCUUGAGAGUAACUGCUUACGUUUCGACGUUACCUACCCAGAAAGCCCCGGCUAACUACGUGCCAGCAGCCGCGGUAAUACGUAGGUGGCAAGCGUUAACCGGAUUUAUUGGGCGUAAAGGGAACGCAGGCGGUCUUUUAAGUCUGAUGUGAAAGCCCUGGGCUUAACCGGGGAAGUGCAUUGGAUACUGGGAGGCUAGAGUGCAGAAGAGGGGAGUAGAACUCCAUGUGUAGCGGUGAAAUGCGUAGAGAUAUGGAGGAACACCAGUGGCGAAGGCGGCCCUCUGGACAGUGACUGACGCUGAGGUGCGAAAGCGUGGGUAGCAAACAGGAUUAGAUACCCUAGUAGUC
rnacentral:rRNA from 1 species